rnacentral:rRNA from 1 species
AUUGAACGCUGGCGGCAGGCCUAACACAUGCAAGUCGAACGAGUGGCGGACGGGUGAGUAAUGUCUGGGAAACUGCCUGAUGGAGGGGGAUAACUACUGGAAACGGUAGCUAAUACCGCAUACCAUCAGAUGUGCCCAGAUGGGAGUAGAUUGUUGGUGGGGUAACGGCUCACCAAGGCGACGCUCCCCAGCUGGUCUGAGAGGAUGACCAGCCACAGUGGAACUGAGACACGGUCCAGACGCCUACGGUAGGAAGCAGUGGGUAAGAUGGCACAAUGGGCGCAAGCCUGAUGCAGCCAGGCCGCGUGUAUGAAGAAGGCCUUCGGGUUGUAAAGUACUUUCAGCGGGGAGGCGUUACCCGCAGAAGAAGCACCGGCUAACUCCGUGCCAGCAGCCGCGGUAAUUC